rnacentral:rRNA from 1 species
UCAUUAUAACAGCUAUAAUGUACUUGAUGUUGAUUAUCCAACGUGGAUAACUGUGGCAAUUCUAGAGCUAAUACAUGCACCAAAGCUCCGACUUAUGGACGAGCGCAUCUAUUAGAUUAAAACCAAUCGGGUUAUUGAUUUAGCCCGUAAAUUGGUGACUCUGAAUAGCUAUGGCUGAUCGCAUGGUCUUGUACCGGCGACAUAUCUAUCAAGUGUCUGCCUUAUCAACUUUCGAUGGUAGUUUAUGUGCCUACCAUGGUUGU